GAUGAAGAACGCAGCGAAAUGCGAUAAGUAGUGUGAAUUGCAGAAUUCAGUGAAUCAUCGAAUCUUUGAACGCACAUUGCGCCCUUUGGUAUUCCAAAGGGCAUGCCUGUUCGAGCGUCAUUUGUACCCUCAAGCUUUGUUUGGUGUUGGGCGUCUUGUCUCUAGCUUUGCUGGAGACUCGCCUUAAAGUAAUUGGCAGCCGGCCUACUGGUUUCGGAGCGCAGCACAAGUCGCACUCUCUAUCAGCAAAGGUCUAGCAUCCAUUAAGCCUUUUUUUCAACUUUUGACCUCGGAUCAGGUAGGGAUACCCGCUGAACUUAAGCAUAUCAAUAAGCGGAGGA
rnacentral:misc_RNA from 1 species